UUGGGUGCUGUAAUAUCAAUAAAUAUUUAAAUAAAGUCAAAUAAAUUAGCUGGUAAGCAAGAGACGCAAAUUAUAACCUCCAAUUCAUCAGAUUUAUAAUGUUGGCGCACUUGAAGGACCAUCCACCUGGACCUACCGAGCACGAAUAUGUCAACCAUUUUUUUUAUCACUGACGGGAGCUGAGCACGAGAUCUGAGACUCGCGGGUUUUACUGUUUUGAGGUUUGAAGGAGUAAAGAUGUUCAAGUACAAACAAUCUUCAUCAACAUCACGAAUUCCUUUUGUGGCACCAGUAUAAUUACUCGGCUGAGGACAAGCUGGUCCCCAAUCGACGGCUUGCAAUAAUUGCCAUCCUCUAUUUUAAAAAAAUAAAUAAAAUUUAUUAUUUAGAAAAUCU